CGGACGCACUCGAACUGAUUUCAGCAUCUGACAUGGUCACGAGCUCUCUGGUUGCAUCUAUGUUGUAGGAGCAUGGAGACCAAUAAUGACACACUCGAGCUGAUUAAGCAUUUUCCUAUGGUGGCGAGUUCUGUAAUUCUCAUCUCUGUAUUAGGAGCACAGAGACCAAUAGUGGACGCACUCGAACUGAUUUUAGCAUUUUCCAUGGUCAUGGGCUCUCUGGUUGCGUCUAUGCUUUCAGAGCAUGGAGAGC